GCACUAAGAAAAUUAAUAUCCAUUGUUUAUUUAUGUUUUUAUAUCAUAAUUACUUUUAAGUCCGUCUUUAUAUAAAAUGUUAGAUCUUAGUGUCGAAAAUAUUUUUUAUUGUAACUCACCUCAAAUUCUUACUCAUUGGCUGCACUUUGAUUUGUAAUUUUCUUUAAAGUUUAUAAAUUCACCUUAAGGUAAAUUUGAGACAACGGCAUACAAGCUUUAUAAGGUAAGUAGUAUUUUCUUGGUGGUUAUCAAUUACAUGGUAAGUUCCCCUAAAGUAUUUUCUCAGCCGCCAUAAUAUUUAAGUUUGAGUCUAGUAGUAAACAUUAAUCCUUGCUAUGUAAAUAUGAAUCUCCGUAUAACCGGGUCUCUAAUCCAGGUUUAUUUAUUGGAGUUUGGCGUGGGAUUAGGAACUAGGUAAAAUACAGUAAUUAUUAAUAUUUUACUACAUAAUAAUUUUUUGCAGUUUCUAGUGUUUUAAACAUACAUAACAACUACUUUAGGUUUAUUUAUUAGGUCUGACCGCGGUUGCUGGCACCUAAUAAACCUAAACUAUAUAGUUACCUAAAUCUAAUUUUCAUUAAUAUUUAAAAUUUUUAACUGGAUUAUUUAUUAGUAUUCCAUAUUAAGUUAGACUAUUAACCUAAUGUCACAUCAUAUUAAAGUGAUAAAAUCUAUGGGGGAAUAUACCAUUUUAGG
rnacentral:rRNA from 1 species